CAUUUGGAUUAAUACAAACUGCCUUAACGGCCAUGGUGAUAGCGCAUGUUGCUGGAACACCAUUGUCUUCAUCUUCCUUUGCAUGCAAAAAUCAGCCCAUUUCUUCUUCUGUCCCACAACUUCAGAAAAUCUCUGCAUCUGCCCCUUCAUCAGCAUCAUCAAGAACAGCUACAAGAAGAAGAGCUUUAUCUGUUUUUGUACUCACCACAUCACUCUCAGGCUUAAUACAACAAUUGUCACUUGACAAUUCUUCAACUUCUUGGUCCAAACCCACAGGGCAGAAUUUUGUAGAGCUUCCCAAUUCAGGUGGGGUCAAGGCCUUGGACCUUCGCUUUGGUGAUGGAGCAAUUCCUGCUGAUGGUGAUAAGGUUGCAAUUCAUUACUAUGGAAGGUUAGCAGCAAAACAAGGAUGGCGAUUUGAUUCUACAUAUGACCACAAAGAUGCGACAGGCGAACCAAUUCCUUUUGAGUUCAUCCUUGGUUCAGGAAAAGUCAUAUCUGGAAUCGAAUCAGCAGUCAGAUCAAUGAACGUGGGAGGCAUUCGUCGUAUCAUUAUUCCACCAUCUGAAGGAUAUCAGAGCACAUCUCAAGAACCCAUUCCACCUAAUUUUUUUGAUAGGCAGAGGCUCUUUACUACCAUUUUCAAUCCAACUCGUCUUGCCAACGGAGAAGGAUCAACAUUGGGGACCCUAAUAUUCGAUAUAGAGUUGGUCAGCUUAAGACACUGAUAUUUAGGUUGCCUGCAGCUACAAUUUUCAGCUGAAGCAGGAAGUGCAAAAGGAAUAGAAUACAGAUGGUGAUCUAUGUCACCUUCUAUCUACUGUGAUUGGUAUUACCAGUCAUAGCAAGAUAAAAAAUGUAUUCACAUUCUUACAUGAAGGAAAUUUGACUACCUGCUGACAGAUAGAGUGAAAAAAUUGACUGCAUAUCAAUUUGAAAAGAAGGAAUUUUAGCAUGAGAUGAGUUGACAGAGUUGACUGAGCCUAAGUAAACCUGAGCAGCUGCAACAUCUGGAAUAAGGAUCUUUUCACUUGCUUGAAGUUAAUGAAAAAGUUGUCAGUGAGCGAUCCUAGCCUACAGAAACAUAUGUAAGAAUACAAGUUGUUUACUUUCAGCGAUUGGCAAUUUGUUGCUUGGAGUACAAGAUAGUAGUUUCCGUUACUCAUUUCAUUUUGCUUCCGGUGUUUCUCAAUACAUUUUGGGUUCGGUAGUUGACUUGAAAGAAUUCUAAGAUAUUGUUACCUGGGUUUUA